AACGAACGCUGGCGGCAUGCCUAACACAUGCAAGUCGAACGAGACCUUCGGGUCUAGUGGCGCACGGGUGCGUAACGCGUGGGAACCUGCCUUUAGGUUCGGAAUAACUCAGAGAAAUUUGAGCUAAUACCGGAUGAUGUCUUCGGACCAAAGAUUUAUCGCCUUUAGAUGGGCCCGCGUAAGAUUAGCUAGUUGGUGGGUAAAGCCUACCAAGGCGACGAUCUUUAGCUGGUCUGAGAGGAUGAUCAGCCACACUGGGACUGAGACACGGCCCAGACUCCUACGGGAGGCAGCAGUGGGGAAUAUUGGACAAUGGGCGAAAGCCUGAUCCAGCAAUGCCGCGUGAGUGAUGAAGGCCUUAGGGUUGUAAAGCUCUUUUACCCGAGAUGAUAAU
rnacentral:rRNA from 1 species